CAGAAGACAAGAAAGAAACAGCAGUUGUUAACAAAUAAGCCAUGCCUGUUGCAGCUGAUGUAACUGUGGGGGACCUGCAUGUGAGACAUACAGGUCUAACUCCAGCUGGAAUUGAAGGAUUACAAGAAUCAUCAACUGCACAGAAUAUAAAAGCUCAACAAGCUGAGUAACAAAUCAGUCAAGAAGAACUGGAGGACAGAUUUCUUCAUAUACAUGAUGAUCACAUCUUACUCAAGCAGCAUACAAAUGAGCAAGAGGAGAAAAGUAAAAGUGUUCCUCGCCAAAACCCUUUUAACUAGAAGUUUGGAAUGAAUUUGCAGUGGAAGAACGUUGAAAAAUCCCCACAUAAACAAAAAACCUGCUUACAGGCAAGUAACAUUCUGUGACAUCCGGAAGUUAUUAGGGAUUUUUUUUUUGUUUUGUUUCACUUUUGUUCUUUUAAGUAGAAGCUUCUGUCCACAAGUAUACAAAAAAUAAAACAAGCCCCUUUAAACAAA